AACGAACGCUGGCGGCAGGCUUAACACAUGCAAGUCGAGCGGUAACAGGCCGCAAGGUGCUGACGAGUGGCGAACGGGUGAGUAAUGCAUCGGAACGUGCCCAGUCGUGGGGGAUAACGCAGCGAAAGCUGUGCUAAUACCGCAUACGAUCUAUGGAUGAAAGCGGGGGACCGUAAGGCCUCGCGCGAUUGGAGCGGCCGAUGUCAGAUUAGCUAGUUGGUGGGGUAAAGGCCCACCAAGGCGACGAUCUGUAGCUGGUCUGAGAGGACGACCAGCCACACUGGGACUGAGAAACGGCCCAGACUCCUACGGGAGGCAGCAGUGGGGAAUUUUGGACAAUGGGCGCAAGCCUGAUCCAGCAAUGCCGCGUGCAGGAAGAAGGCCUUCGGGUUGUAAACUGCUUUUGUACGGAACGAAACGGUCUGGGUUAAUACCCUGGGCUAAUGACGGUACCGUAAGAAUAAGCACCGGCUAACUACGUGCCAGCCGCCGCCGUAAUAC
rnacentral:rRNA from 1 species